rnacentral:rRNA from 1 species
UACGGAGGGGGCUAGCGUUGUUCGGAAUUACUGGGCGUAAAGCGCGCGUAGGCGGCUUUGCAAGUUAGAGGUGAAAGCCCGGAGCUCAACUCCGGAACUGCCUUUAAAACUGCAUCGCUAGAAUCAUGGAGAGGUUAGUGGAAUUCCGAGUGUAGAGGUGAAAUUCGUAGAUAUUCGGAAGAACACCAGUGGCGAAGGCGACUAACUGGACAUGUAUUGACGCUGAGGUGCGAAAGCGUGGGGAGCAAACAGG